CCUACGGGUGGCUGCAGUGGGGAAUAUUGCACAAUGGGGGAAACCCUGAUGCAGCGACGCCGCGUGAGCGAUGAAGUAUUUCGGUAUGUAAAGCUCUAUCAGCAGGGAAGAAGAUGACGGUACCUGACUAAGAAGCCCCGGCUAACUACGUGCCAGCAGCCGCGGUAAUACGUAGGGGGCAAGCGUUAUCCGGAUUUACUGGGUGUAAAGGGAGCGUAGUCGGCGAUGCAAGCCAGAUGUGAAAGCCCGGGGCUCAACCCCGGAACUGCAUUUGGAACUGUGUGGCUGGAGUGUAGGAGAGGCAGGCGGAAUUCGUAGUGUAGCGGUGAAAUGCGUAGAUAUUAGGAGGAACACCAGUGGCGAAGGCAGCCUGCUGGACUAUGACUGACGUUGAGGCUCGAAAGCGUGGGGAGCAAACAGGAUUAGAUACCCGAGUAGUC
rnacentral:rRNA from 1 species